rnacentral:rRNA from 1 species
AGUGAACGCUGGCGGUAGGCCUAACACAUGCAAGUCGAACGGCAGCACAGUAAGAGCUUGCUCUUACGGGUGGCGAGUGGCGGACGGGUGAGGAGUACAUCGGAAUCUACUUUUUCGUGGGGGAUAACGUAGGGAAACUUACGCUAAUACCGCAUACGACCUACGGGUGAAAGCAGGGGAUCUUCGGACCUUGCGCGAUUGAAUGAGCCGAUGUCGGAUUAGCUAGUUGGCGGGGUAAAGGCCCACCAAGGCGACGAUCCGUAGCUGGUCUGAGAGGAUGAUCCGCCACACUGGAACUGAGACACGGUCCAGACUCCUACGGGAGGCAGCAGUGGGGAAUAUUGGCCAAUGGGCGCAAGCCUGAUCCAGCCAUACCGCGUGGGUGAAGAAGGCCUUCGGGUUGUAAAGCCCUUUUGUUGGGAAAGAAAAGCAGCAGGUUAAUACCCCGCUGUUCUGACGGUACCCAAAGAAUAAGCACCGGCUAACUUCGUG